UACGUAGGUGGCAAGCGUUGUCCGGAAUUAUUGGGCGUAAAGCGCGCGCAGGCGGUCCUUUAAGUCUGAUGUGAAAGCCCACGGCUCAACCGUGGAGGGUCAUUGGAAACUGGGGGACUUGAGUGCAGGAGAGAAGAGUGGAAUUCUCGGUGUAGCAGUGAAAUGCGUAGAUAUCGAGAGGAACACCAGUGGCGAAGGCGAGUCCCUGGACACUUCCUGACACUGAGGCACGAAAGCUAGGGGAGCAAACAGG
rnacentral:rRNA from 1 species